UCAUAAGGUAGAAUAAUCCUUACCUGUUUCUCCAUUUAGAGAUCAGAUAGAACAUGAUGAUUAGAGUUUGAAUGAUUCCUGAUUAAUGACUGCAUGAUUAGGACUUAUAGCACCCUAAUUGCUCCUAUCUGAU
rnacentral:snoRNA from 1 species